CUCGGAGCUGCAGAGACAAUUAUCUCCAUGGGAAAGAAAGGAUUCCUGCUUUGAGGAGGAUUGGAUUUUCGAAAAACAGGUGUGCCUCAGGUCACUCAUCUGGCUCGGAAACAGCAAAAUCUCCAAACGUGAUUAAAAUGUGACUUGGUUGACUCCAGGAUCCAUGUUUGCUCUGAUUGAUCGAGUGACAUUAAAGGAGGAGGAACACAAUGCCUGUUAAACACUGUGCACAAUGUUCUGAUAGCAGGAGACACAAAAAGGAGCUGACGCUGUGGACGAGGAGUGAGACCAAACACAGGAUUCCUCCUUGUUUCUAUCUUUUCUUUUCAUUGAGUUCACCAUCACCUCCUCCACAUUCCUCAGGCUAUCUGUGACUGAGGAGGAGACAUUCCUGACACCAUUGUUGGGCUCAUGUUGCCCCCUCUGUGAGAAAUGAAGCCACCUACCAGUAAGUUUCAGAUCAUUUCCAGCUUCCUUCUGCUAAAAAGCUUUAUGGAGAUGCUGGUUUCAUUGCUGGUUUUCACUGCCAAAGGUACCCAGAGUUGGUUCAAUGACCCCAGUGUUACUGUUUUUGAUUGGCCAGGAAACUUGCAAAGCAAGCUGGGCUUCUGUUCAUCCUCAGCAGAACCACAGGCAGAACCUCCAUGCAAAUGAUGCAGUAAUUCAUGUAAAAGGAGCCCUAACCAAGUAUUGAGUGCAAAGAAAUGAACACACUUUACAGAAGCCUGAUAUUUCUGUUUAAAUGUAUUUUAUUUAAUAUGAUCAUUUUGUGAAACACUGAAUUUUGUAUUUUCAUUAUCUAUAAGCCAUAAUCAUUAAAAUGCCAAGAAAUAAAGGGUUGAAAUAUUUCACUCUGUGUAAUGAAUCUAUAUGAGUUUCACUUUCUGAUAUGAGUGACAAAAAAUAUAAACUUUUUCAUGAUUUUUUUAAGCUGUUGAUGUGUACAUAUAUUUUAUCUGGAAAUAAUUGUAGGUAAUCUCUUGUGCAAAUAAUGUUAAUUUUCUGCAUCUUCUCAUCUAAAACAUGUCUUAGAGCUGUUUCCAGUCCAGUUUAACCUGUUUUAGUGUGUGGUGCAUGCAGUGAUGGUAAGGUAUAUUACAUGGAAGGAAAAGAUGGAUGGCGAACUGAUGGACAGGUCAUGUUUUCCCUGAACAACAAAUUGAAAUCCUUUCAGCAAAUCUCUGCUUGCUCACAUCUUCAUCAUUUGUUUUUCUUGUAAAUUUCUUAAUUGUUUCCCAGCUUUGUAAUUCUUCCUCCUCCUCUUUCUCUCUACCUUACUUUGGAUGUUGAUCUUUAUGCAUCACUCUACCUGAAAACCAUUUUUUCCACUUGUAAUUCUUCUCUGUAACAGACUUCAGAUCAAAGUGUAAAAACCUCUCGCCGUCUCUGCUUCUCUAAUCUCAGCUUCCUCUGGGUGGAGAUAAGGACCAUGUGAAUGAGCACAGGUUUUACUUCAGGGGCAGAGAGAUGAAUCAGAUGUUUCUGCUAAGGAUAAAUGUAAUUUAUUCAUUUACAGGGCUAAAGGCCAAUGGGAUCAGUUAGGUAAGGCGUGAAAUAAGAGGAGGAUAGAUUGUAAACUGAAAUCUGCUGAGUUUUUUUUACCUCCUGAUGGUGAGAACUGACUGACUGGUUUAUGGCUGCACCUCCAGGGAGGAUUUUACACAACAAAGGGUGAAAAGGCUUCUCUGUGUUUAACUGGUUGUAUGAGAGCGUUCAACUUUUCAUCUGACCACCACUCCCUUCCUUUACAGGUCACCUUAGGGAAGAAUUCAUCUGCGUAACAUGAUGCACAUGUGCAUACCUGUAAGGUGUGUGUUCAGGUGAUAGUGUAGGGCUGUGUUAUCUGUGUGUGUGUGUGUGUGCAGAGGUCAGAGGUGGUGACGUAAGCCUGCAGGUCCAGAGGUUCAGCUGAGGUCCUGACAGAAUCUGCUCAGCUGCCUCAUCAUUGCCUGAUAAAGUCUGCUGCAUGUGUGGCGUAAGAUGGAAGCGUUCCUGUUCUGUCUGUGUUCUGCUCAGAGAUAUGAUGGUGAUGAAGAGGAAGAGACUGUUGGAAAUUCCACUUUCAUCAAGCCAUUUUCCAGACAACAUAAACUUUCAUCACAGAUGACACGAUGUAAAAGAUCUCUCCUUUACAUCAGGUUCUGAUCAAACAGCCAGCAUCAAAACGUCUUCCUCUGGGAUAACCUCCAGCCAUGACACCUUCAAGACCUCCUCUCAGCACCGUUUCAACAGCUCAUGUUAUUUUAAAGCACUGACACAUUGUUAUGUCUACCAUCUAAGCUCCAUGCUCAGAAAUUCAGGCUCCUAUAGCUGCUCUCCACAUGUGAGGUGCCAAAGGAAAAUAUCGGAUCAUGUUGUACUUUGAACAGUAAUUUUAAAACUGUAUUUAUGUUUUUUUCCAAACAAAUGUACAAUUGUGUGGUUGGCAACAAAUGAUUCAAAGUAAUUAUAGUGGUUAAGCCCAGAAAGAAAGAAUAACGAUCUCUUUAAUAGUUUAUUGCUUACCAAACGUAUUUCUACGUUCAAAUUUUCAUUACAAAUUAUCCUCCGCAAAAUUGUCCAGCAAUAUGAAUGAGAAUUAGUUUUAUUGGCCAAGUUUGUGUGCAUAAAGAAAAUAUUUCACUCAGUUUCACACGCUCACAGUGUACAGCUAUUAAAUAUAAAAUUUAUAAAUUAUGAACAUUAAGAAGGUUGUGUUCAAAGGGCCAAAGUAAAAAUCUGUCAAACCAACAUUUGUGACCUGAAUUUCAUGCUGCAUUUAAUUAAACUCAGAAAUCAAAACUCUGAUCAGGGAAGGACACCAUGAUUUGUAUCCACAGAUCUGUUCUGUUGCUUUCAAUGUGUGUUAAAGGUGUCAAAAGAUGCAAAACAUUUAAAUGUAACACCUAGUGGUUUAGGUCAGAGCACAUCGGUCCAGCACCGUUUAAACUCAAUGGACCCACUGGUAAAGAUUUCUUAAAAGACUUUGUUAAAAGACGUUUUACUGUGAAAGCAAUAAAAGUUAUUCAUUCUCUUGUAGGUCCCCUAAACCUGCCCAUAUCCACAAUCUGGAUAUGAAAGACGACCCAGGUCUUUGUUGCCAACACGCAUUGAGGAGGACUUUGGAUGUUUGCAGUUUUAUGUGAAAUAUUAAAAGAAACAACCAAUUAAAAAACUUGCAACAAAACAAAAAGCUACAAAUUUCAUUAAAAUAAAAAGAUUCUUAACCUUUUUAUUUACGUCACUGCGAUGUCAUUAAAUCAUGAGCAGGUUCAUCAGUGUCUGUUAGCAUAAACCUGAGUUACCGAGACGUGAAAGUUUUCCAGAUCCAACCUUCAGUUUGAAUUUUUCUGUAUUGAGAAAGGAACAAAGAUAAAUAUGUGUCUAUUCUGUGAAUGUUGUUUAUUGUAAAUGAGUUUGUUGUAUUAGUUUUUCUAAACUGGCUUUAUUAAAUGUUUUUCACCUUAUUGAAUUUCAUCUUAUCUCACGAUCGUACACACUCUAGUUUUCUAAAAGCUCAGAGGAUGCCAGCUCCUAGAGUUUUGUUCUGCAGUAAUAAAAGUUUACAUUUGCCAACUAAA